rnacentral:lncRNA from 1 species
AAGCAGCUACCUUAAAGUCACAAAAUAUCAGAAAAUGGAUGUUCAAGGUCAUUCAACGUAACCCUGCUUUUAAUACCUACAGACAUUUUUUUAACCAAAGGAUAUAUCCUGGCAAAAUAUAUUAUGUAUGUAUAUAACUAAACGGAACCUCUGAGAUGAAAAAUACCUUCGAAAUGAAAAAUUCAUCAAAUGAGCUUAGCAGCAGUUUGAAAACUGCAGAAAAAU